rnacentral:lncRNA from 1 species
CAUUGUCCUAUUUGUCCAUUCUUCUACUCAACCUACCACUCCUCCACUGCUAUUACUCCUUAACUACUCUUCUUCAUCAUUUUCUUUCCAUUCUUUCAAAAAAUUCAAACAAUUGAAAUCUGUCUGAAUUCGGAUUUGCAAAAGAAGGCCAAAUUGUACAUACUAUUGCUAUGGGUUCAUCAGUUACUCUUAUGUAAGUUACUCGAUUACUUUCUUUCUAUUUAUUCAAAUAGAAUCGAUCGAAUUUGACAAAUUUAAUUCAGUUGGGUUUGAACACAGAUUGCAUCGAUGGGCAGAGAAGUCUUUGCGAAGCACAGAGAUACGUGGUCUCUGCGCUACGCAAAGAUUGCAGUGCAGAUUAAAUGAAUUGCAAGUCUGAAUGAUAACAGUGAAUUUGUUUGUGCGAAAAUUGUCUAUUUCUUUCUUAAUUUUUCAUUCAACAAAUUGAUGCAUCGAUUAUGUUGCAGUAUUGGAUAUACUAAGCAUUUGGACAAAAAAUUGGACAUAGAUAUAAAACAUUACAGAGUCCACGAAUGCACAAAUGGAAGUCAAAUGGUUAAGCAAUUUUUGACUGCUCAAGAAGUAUGAUUUUUUUAAUGAAUUGUGCAUUUAAUCAUGUUUAUUUGAAAAGAAAUUUAAAAGAAAUCAUUCCAAUAUUUUAUUACAAUUACAAAUUUGAGUAGUUGCAGUGUUAGAAGCGUUAUACCUUGUUGCAAUUUUUUAGGUAGGUAGAUGAAGAUCUUGUGUUAGGUUGUUAUGGUAUGUAAAAGUUAUACCUUCAAUUGUGUCCGUUUCUUAAAUUUUCCUUCGUUUGAUUUCGUGUAAUUGUUUAAAAAUUAGCAGAAUUCUUUUCUUACUUGACUGUCAAACAAUUGUACUCGUCUUUUUCAUCGAGUUUUCUCUCUUCUUGGAGCAAUUUUUCUGCCUUAUGUUGUUUGCAUUGUUCUCCUUCAUGCUUCAUUUCUUAAUACAUAUACUCUUGUAUUUUUUUAUGUGGUUGAAAGAAAGUAUUGAAACUAAAAAUCAGAUUUUAAUCCCUAUCAAACAGGAGUUAAAUAGUAAUCUUAUGCCAAACUGACAUAACAUAUUUAAAAACAACCUGAGGAAUAUAUUGCUUGAAUAUGGGUUAACAUGUUUGUGUAAUGGUUGUGAUAGUUUUAGUGCCUUAAGAUCUUAUAACUCUUUCAUGUAGCCUCUAUUUUUUUGUUAGUAUUCUCAGAUUAAUUCUAAUUAUAUUGGAAGUCACUAUUCAAUUUUCUUUGUUGUUUCUUGAUUUAUUGAAGAUGCAAUAUGAUAUAUAAAUAUAUUAUUAAAGAAGAUAAUUUUUUUAAUGCUUUCCAUAGGUUAAAAAAGAUGAAGCAGCACUAUAGACAAAUCAGCAAACUGAUCAUUUGAAAUAGAAAGAAAUCCACAGAGAAAACACUCUCCAUGUAGUGCGAAAAAUGCAUAGAGUGGAGAGGUGUGCACGCACACUCUCCGUGUUGCACUGAGAGGCGCACGCGAAGAGUACCUUUCAGCUCUACCGGAAGGUGCAGAGGCGAUGCGAAAAGUGCCUCUCCGCGGUACGCGGAGAGCAGUCUCUCUGGGCUGCUUGGAGAUCCGUGCAGCUCCAAUUUUUUUCUUUUUUCUCAUUUCUUUAAGCUAAAAACCUCAACUUCCCGGUUUUUGAAGAAAUUUUAGGAUUGUCAAUUUUUGGUAAAACUUUAGUCAAAUUUGACUGAAAACGUGCCAAUGAACAAAAUUUAGCAGCUUCGCUACUGAUGUGGGGGCCAAUUUAGC